rnacentral:rRNA from 2 species
AGAGUUUGAUCAUGGCUCAGGAUGAACGCCGGCGGUGUGCCUAAUACAUGCAAGUCGUACGCACUGGCCCAACUGAUUGAUGGUGCUUGCACCUGAUUGACGAUGGAUCACCAGUGAGUGGCGGACGGGUGAGUAACACGUAGGUAACCUGCCCCGGAGCGGGGGAUAACAUUUGGAAACAGAUGCUAAUACCGCAUAACAACAAAAGCCGCAUGGUUUUUGUUUGAAAGAUGGCUUUGGCUAUCACUCUGGGAUGGACCUGCGGUGCAUUAGCUAGUUGGUAAGGUAACGGCUUACCAAGGCGAUGAUGCAUAGCCGAGUUGAGAGACUGAUCGGCCACAAUGGAACUGAGACACGGUCCAUACUCCUGCGGGAGGCAGCAGUAGGGAAUCUUCCACAAUGGGCGCAAGCCUGAUGGAGCAACACCGCGUGAGUGAAGAAAGGGUUUUCGGCUCGUAAAGCUCUGUUGUUGGAGAAGAACGUGCGUGAGAGUAACUGUUCACGCAGUGACGGUAUCCAACCAGAAAGUCACGGCUAACUACGUGCCAGCAGCCGCGGUAAUACGUAGGUGGCAAGCGUUAUCCGGAUUUAUUGGGCGUAAAGCGAGCGCAGGCGGUUGCUUAGGUCUGAUGUGAAAGCCUUCGGCUUAACCGAAGAAGUGCAUCGGAAACCGGGCGACUUGAGUGCAGAAGAGGACAGUGGAACUCCAUGUGUAGCGGUGGAAUGCGUAGAUAUAUGGAAGAACACCAGUGGCGAAGGCGGCUGUCUGGUCUGCAACUGACGCUGAGGCUCGAAAGCAUGGGUAGCGAACAGGAUUAGAUACCCUGGUAGUCCAUGCCGUAAACGAUGAGUGCUAGGUGUUGGAGGGUUUCCGCCCUUCAGUGCCGGAGCUAACGCAUUAAGCACUCCGCCUGGGGAGUACGACCGCAAGGUUGAAACUCAAAGGAAUUGACGGGGGCCCGCACAAG